rnacentral:rRNA from 1 species
CGGGCAUCUUCGGAUGCUAGUGGCAGACGGGUGAGUAACACGUGGGAACGUACCUUUCGGUUCGGAAUAAUACAGGGAAACUUGUACUAAUACCGGAUACGCCCUUCGGGGGAAAGAUUUAUCGCCGAUAGAUCGGCCCGCGUCUGAUUAGCUAGUUGGUGAGGUAAUGGCUCACCAAGGCGACGAUCAGUAGCUGGUCUGAGAGGAUGAUCAGCCACACUGGGACUGAGACACGGCCCAGACUCCUACGGGAGGCAGCAGUGGGGAAUAUUGGACAAUGGGCGAAAGCCUGAUCCAGCCAUGCCGCGUGUGUGAUGAAGGCCUUAGGGUUGUAAAGCACUUUUGUCCGGGAAGAUAAUGACUGUACCGGAAGAAUAAGCCCCGGCUAACUUCGUGCCAGCAGCCGCGGUAAUACGAAGGGGGCUAGCGUUGCUCGGAAUCACUGGGCGUAAAGGGCGCGUAGGCGGACUCUUAAGUCGGGGGUGAAAGCCCAGGGCUCAACCCUGGAAUUGCCUUCGAUACUGAGAGUCUUGAGUUCGGAAGAGGUUGGUGGAACUGCGAGUGUAGAGGUGAAAUUCGUAGAU